GUGCACCAGUCGAGAAUAGUCUACAAUGGACGAAAGUCUGAUAGUGCGACGCCGUGUGUGCGAUUAAUUCCUUCGGGAUGUAAAGCACUUUUCUAUGAGAUAAAAGCUCUUUAGGUUAAUAGCUUAUUGAGACGGAUAUUAUUAUAGGAAUAAGCUCCGGCUAACUCCGUGCCAGCAGCCGCGGUAAUACGGAAGGAGCGAGCGUUGUCCGGAUUUACUAGGCGUAAAGGGCUAGUAGGCGACUAAUUAAGUUAUAUGUUAAAUCCCACGGCUCAACUGUGGUCCUGCAUGUAAUACUGGUUAGAUAGAGUACUGUAGAGGAAGGCAGAAUUCCUGGAGUAGCGGUGGAAUGCGCAGAUAUCAGGAAGAAUACCAAAAGCGAAGGCAGCCUUCUGGGCAGUUACUGACGCUGAAUAGCGAAGGUGUGGGUAGCGAACAGGAAUUAGAC
rnacentral:rRNA from 1 species